rnacentral:rRNA from 1 species
AUUGAACGCUGGCGGCAUGCUUUACACAUGCAAGUCGAACGGCAGCACGGGGGCAACCCUGGUGGCGAGUGGCGAACGGGUGAGUAAUGCAUCGGACCGUGCCCUGUCGUGGGGGAUAACCCAUCGAAAGAUGUGCUAAUACCGCAUACGACCUGAGGGUGAAAGCGGGGAACCGCAAGGCCUCGCGCGAUCGGACCGGCCGAUGUCUGAUUCGCUAGUUGGUGGGGUAAAGGCCUACCAAGGCGACGAUCAGUAGCUGGUCUGAGAGGACGACCAGCCACACUGGGACUGAGACACGGCCCAGACUCCUACGGGAGGCAGCAGUGGGGAAUUUUGGACAAUGGGGGCAACCCUGAUCCAGCCAUGCCGCGUGCGGGAAGAAGGCCUUCGGGUUGUAAACCGCUUUUGGCAGGAACGAAACGGUGCGGGCGAAUACCCUGUGCUAAUGACGGUACCUGCAGAAUAAGCACCGGCUAACUACGUGCCAGCCGCCGCAGUAACAC